AAUUUUGGACAAUGGGGGAAACCCUGAUCCAGCCAUCCCGCGUGUAUGAUGAAGGCCNNNGGGUUNUCAAGUAUUUUUGGCAGNGACNAAAAGGCAUCCCCUAAUACGGGAUGCUGCUGACGGUAUCUGUAGCAGAAGCACCGGCUAACUACGUGCCAGCAGCCGCGGUAGUACGUCGGGUGCAAGCGUUCAACGGAAUUACUGGGCGUAAAACGUGUGUAGGCGGUUCGGAAAGAAAGAUGUGGAAUCCCACGGGUCAACCUUGGAACUGCAUUUUUAACUGCCGAGCUAGAGUAUGUCAGAGGGGGGUAGAAUUCCACGUGUAGCAGUGAAAUGCGUAGAUAUGUGGCGGAAUACCGAUGGCGAAGGCAGCCCCCUGGGAUAAUACUGACGCUCAGACACGAAAGCGUGGGGAGCAAACAGG
rnacentral:rRNA from 1 species